UGGAUGAUCGCGGCUGCAAGUGCCGAAAGGCCGCAGGUGAGGAAAGUCCGGGCUCCAUAGAGCAGGGUGCCAGAUAACGUCUGGUGGAGGUGACUCCAAGGAAAGUGCAACAGAAAUAAACUGCCAUACUUUGUAUGGUGAUGGUGGAAAGGCAGUGUAAGAGACUACCGCAGCUCUGGUAACAGAGAUGGCUAUGUAAACCCCAUCCGGAGCAAGACCAAAAAAAGGCGAUACGGCUGCUCGUCGUGUCUUUAGGUAGGUCGCUUGAUCCUGUUGGCGACAGCAGGGCUAGAUAGAUGAUCAUCACGCACAGAGUGCGUACAUAACCCGGCUUAUAGCAUCGCUCGU
rnacentral:RNase_P_RNA from 1 species